rnacentral:tRNA from 1 species
CUCUCUCUAUUAAAGGAAGAUAGCCCUCCA